AGUGAACGCUGGCGGCGUGCUUAACACAUGCAAGUCGAACGAGAACGGAUUAUAGCUUGCUAUAAUUGUCAGCUAAGUGGCGCACGGGUGAGUAAUGUAUAGGUAAUAUGCCUCUUACUAAGGGAUAACAAAUGGAAACGUUUGCUAAUACCUUAUACUCCUUAUUAACAUAAGUUAAUAAGGGAAAGAUUUAUUGGUAAGAGAUUAGCCUGUAUUGUAUCAGUUAGUUGGUGGGGUAAUGGCUUACCAAGACUAUGACACAUAACUGGUUUGAGAGGAUGAUCAGUCACACUGGAACUGAGACACGGUCCAGACUCCUACGGGAGGCAGCAGUGGGGAAUAUUGCACAAUGGACGAAAGUCUGAUGCAGCAACGCCGCGUGGAGGAUGACACAUUUCGGUGCGUAAACUCCUUUUAUAUGAGAAGAUAAUGACGGUAUUAUAUGAAUAAGCACCGGCUAACUCCGUGCCAGCAGCCGCAGUAA
rnacentral:rRNA from 1 species